rnacentral:rRNA from 1 species
CACGUAGGGCGCGAGCGUUGUCCGGAAUUAUUGGGCGUAAAGAGCUCGUAGGCGGCCUGUUGCGUCCGCUGUGAAAGCCCGGGGCUUAACCCCGGGUCGGCAGUGGAUACGGGCAGGCUAGAGGUAGGUAGGGGAGAAUGGGAAUUCCCGGUGUAGCGGUGAAAUGCGCAGAUAUCGGGAGGAGCACCGGUGGCGAAGGCGGUUCUCUGGGCCUUACCUGACGCUGAGGAGCGAAAGCGUGGGGGAGCGAACAGG